UACCGGCAAGCACGGCUGACAACACCUGAUUCACUCCCUCACCCUAUCCCAAAUAAUCAGUGACUCACAAUCCCCCCCACACCCCGAGGGUCUCGUUCAGGGAAAGGGGGUUGGCAGGGGCGGGGCGGGUGGGCUUCGGGUUUUCACAGGGCAAGACUGAAGCUAAUACAAGGAUUACUCAGAAACCUGGCCAAGCAACUCCUCCUCAGGAGGAGGAACAUUUAUUUCCACGCAGAUGCGGUCUCUCAGCUUCCUGCUCUGGCUUACGGCCUGGUGCCCUGCCUCCUUGUCAUUAUGGAAUCUCCCUCCAGAACAAACUUGGUCAUGGUGUUUAACACAGUAAUGAGAAGUAACAGGUGAAAGGGAAGAAGAAAAUGCAACCCUGUCUAAGGGGGGGACUACAGGAAUGGAGCUUGGCUUUGACUCCCAGAACCACAUAAAUCAGAUACAGUGCACAUACCUGUGAUCCGGCCACGAUUCCAGAUGGAGGCAGGAGAACCAGAAAUCCAAGGUCAUAGCCGGUUCAAAGCCAAUCUGAGUGACAUGAGAACCCAUCUAUAAUAAAUAAAUCAUUCACAUUGGAA